UGUACUAUUGAUAAGACCAAUCUUGGAGAGCCCAAAGUCUGUCAACUGUAACAAAAAGGAGAAGAGGUUUCUAACAGGUAACAAGCAAAAACAAUGCUGCUUGAAAAGAUGAGACAGUAACAGACAGUAACAGACAAGCAAAAACCCAAACAGUAACAGACGAGACAGCCAUCGGGAUAAAUGCUGUCAUGGAUGCCGCCGUCGUCGCCGCCAUGGAAAAGCUACUCCACCAGCUUCAAAAGACGCCGACGAUCACAAUGGGCCCACUCUUGGAGUCAACCCGCGCAGCCUAGUGGAGGAAACCAGCCGCAUGCGCCUCUACUGUCCGCCCAUGUUCUGCCGCUGCCAAGUGCGCAUCCCCACGUGCAGUCAUCGUUCAGCCGGCUUACUCCCACUUGUUUUCCCGAGUCCAGCCGUAGUACCCUUUUGGUCAGCUGCACAUCCUGGCGCCACUGCUGACCUCGGUUUACGGACUGUCAUUGUUUUUCACACGCCGCUGCCCUCUGAUUCUCUACAGCAGUUGCACAUCCGUGGUACCGGGAUCAAUCAACUCCAUAAGAAAUCAGGGUUUGAAGUUCGAGAAUCUUCAGCACAAUCCAAACCAACCUGCUUGCCGAUGUAUUUCAAGUACCCGAUAAACUUCGCUCCCUACUUUGUCCUCAAAUUAUAUAACUAGCUCUCUAGCACCAUCUAUCGGUGUUUUUCCAUGGGAGAAGCUGAAUGGUCAGAACUACUUUUGAUGGUCUCAAUCGGCAAAAAUGUUUCUUGAGGGAUCACCAUUUCGGUUUGUUGACAAGGGAGACUCAUCGGCCCCUGCUUGGUGAUGCUCAAGAACAUCUCUAGAGAGGGGAGGAUUCUCUUAUUCGGUUCUUGUUGAUUAAUAGUAUGGAACUAUAGAUUGGCAAGCCUUGAUAUAUGCAACAAUUGUGAAGGAUCUAUGGGACACUACUCAGAAACUCUACUCGAAGCAUCAGACUAGCUCUAAUGGAAGCAAGGAACUUUGCAUGUAACCUCCUACUUCAAUAAACUCUCUCUACUCUUGCAAGAAAUGGACCUAUGCAGAAAGACAAUAUGGGAUACUAGGAAUGAUAGCGUACAAUGUGCAAAGGUACCAAGUCCUACACAAAAGACCCCAUUUGUAACUAUGUUUCCUAUCUCCACAGUUCAGAGCCUUCACAACCAGCCUUGACUCCACCAUGAUACCUAAAACUAUCCACAUUGCUUUAUAGUGUCCUGAGUGGAAAACUGUUGUUAUGGAAGAGAUGAGAACUCUUGAAAAGAAUAAGACUUUGGAGGUUCGUACUCUCCGUAAGGAACAUAAAACUGUAGGAUGUAAAUGAGUGUUCAUACUCAAAUACAAGGCAGAUGGAACUCUUGACAGACACAAGACUAGACUUGGAAGAGGAAGAUCGUCGUGUUGAUUGUUUAUGUUGAUGACAAUGUUUUAUCUGGAGAUGACAUCACUGAAAUCAUCGAACUGAAAAGAAGAUGGGUGAUAAGUUUGAAAUUAAAGACUUGGGGAAUUUGAAGUAUUUCCUUGGGAUGGAGGUAGCUAGAUCAAAAAAAGGUAUCUUCCUAUCUCAAAGGAAGUAUAUCCUUAAUUUGUUGACUGAAACAGGUAUGCUAAGAUGUCGUCAUGCUAAUACUCUUAUUGAAUUCAACUGUAAACUGAGAAAUUUAGGUGAUAAAGUACCAGUUGAGAAAGAAAAAUAUCAGUGCCUUGUGGGAAAGUUGAUUUACUUGUCACAUACUAGACCAGAUAUCUCCUAUGCUGUGAGUAACGUUAGCCAGUUAUGCAGACUUCCUAUGAGAAACACAUGGAGGCAGUUCACAGAAUCCUGAGGUACUUAAAAACAACUCCUGGAAAAGGGUUGAUGUUUAGGAAGACCGACAAAAGAGUAUUGAGGCCUAUACUAAUUCUGACUUGGCAGAGUCCAUUGUUGACAGAAAAUCCACCUCCGGCAACUGUACCUUUGUAUGAGCAAUCUUGUAACCUGGAGUAAGAAGCAAGUGUUGUGGCCAAAAGCAGUGCUGAAGCUGAGUAUAGGCCCUGAGUUUAGGGAUACGAAAGGAAAUUUGGCCUCAGAAAGAUAUCUUGACCUUUAUCAGGAUUGCGAGGUGUCGAUGAAAUUAUUCUUUGAUAAUAAGGCAGCUAUUAGCAUCGCCAACAAUCUAGUUCAACAUAAUAGAACUAAACAUGUGGAGAUUGAUCGACACUUCAUUAAAGAAAGAUUGGACAAUGGUAGCAUAUGCAUUCCUUACAUCCCCUUGAGCCAACAUGUUGCUAAUGUUCUCACCAAGGGGCUUUUUAAACAAAGCUAAACAAAACUUUGACUCUUCUAUUAGCAAGUUGGGUCUCAUUGAUAUCUACAUCCCAACUUGAGGGGGAGUGUUGGAAUUAGUGUGCUUGGUCCAAGGAAGGAUUUACCCUAAUUUACUUUUCUUUUUUAUCAUAAGCUUGUUGUUUAUUUAUUUUUCCUUUUGUAUAUUUUGUUAAUAUGAGAAAUUAACAAGAAAGUCA